UACGGAGGAUGCGAGCGUUAUCCGGAUUUAUUGGGUUUAAAGGGUGCGCAGGCGGCACGGCAAGCCGGCGGUCAAAUCGCGGGGCUCAACCCCGCCCAGCCGUCGGAACUGCCGGGCUAGAGUGGGCGAGAAGUGCGCGGAAUGCGUGGUGUAGCGGUGAAAUGCAUAGAUAUCACGCAGAACUCCGAUUGCGAAGGCAGCGCACCGGCGCCCAACUGACGCUCAGGCACGAAAGCGUGGGUAUCGAACAGG
rnacentral:rRNA from 1 species